CACCCCACACACCUCACACCCCUCACACCCCUCACACACCCGGCUGCCAGCCGGCUGCCUUGGUGUGUGUUCCCAAAGCCCACUUAGGCACCACCGUGUCCACUGAUGCGUGUGGAGGCGGGUGACCUUUAAAAUGCCUCUGAUUAAUAAAACACUAUUUGUUUGCAGGGAGAAACUGCGCAAAGCACAGUUUUUAAUCUCUCCCCAUCCCUAGCCUGUCCAUAGCACACCACGCAGAAGGAUGCAGGGAAGUGCCUGGGGCAUGAUAUGAGAAGAAGGCUGGAGAGUUUUCACCAUGUGAGGCUGGCUGGGGUGACUGGGCAGAUGUACAGUGCAGCUGGGAGUGCUCCUUCCUUACUGCCAUUUUACAUCAUUCUCCCUUUGGCAAUAGCACUGCUUCAGGUCGCUUGCAGAACACAAACAGAAAAUUGAUGUGAUUUAGGAUUUACCUGCGAAUCAGCUGACAGGAGUAGGAAAACAUGAAGAAAUUUGCACACUACUGCUAUAAAUAGAAAUCUACAUAGGAUAUGGUUUGUGUGUUGAGAACAAGAGCCUGCAAGAAGCUGAACUCAUCAAGUGAGACCAUGGGUACUUCUCUACUGGCUCUAAUGGGGUGUGAAAGAAUUAGGCAGCUACUAGGGUUAGUUCUCUGUGUACUAAUCCACUCAUUUUUCCUUUGCCCUGUGCACAGAAGUCCUGUUUCUGUCUUGAAAAAAGCAAAAGUGGAGGUCUCAAGCUCCAUAAUGUUAUCAUUUCUUUAUUCAUAUGGAAGCUGAAUGAUUAUUCAUUAAUUGGAACCAGAAUUUACAUGGUCAGAGAUCUUUGUGAUGGCUUCAUCUGAUCUUAAGUGACAUAAGACCUCCCCCAAUCAAUUUCUUCUUGCACUGUGGCACAUUUGAAAAAAAAAUAAUAAAAUCUUACUUUUGUCUGAUUUUGUUCACCUUCUAGACAUUAGUUCUUGCUUUUCAUUUGCCAAACUGAACAAAUCCCUGCUAGCAAAUGCCUCCUCACCUAUGUACUUCUAGACUGACUGUCCAAGCCCCCACUCUUCCACCCUCUCUUUACAAAAUGUAGGGUUGUCUUUCCCUGCCUUUUACCACAGAACAUGAAAUAAGUUCUCACAAGUCUCUUUUUUAUGUAUAUGCUGGUUUUCCAAAACCAUUUUUAUUCUAUAGGCACUGUAAUGCAACAUAGCCGACCAGGAAAUGUCACCUCAGUGUCAGCUAUAACAGGAGCAUGAGGUUCUUCCUUUUAAUUCCUCACUUGUCCCUUCCCCCAUCCUUGAUCAUCAUUAGCCUCACUGGUUGUUAGGUCACUAAAUUUUGGCUAUGACCUGCAGGUUAUCAAUGCCUGGCUUUCCCUGCUAGCCAGGACAGAAGUUCCCAGCCUGCAGUCAGGCCCUUGGUAUCUGGUUAACCACACUGCUACAACAGUUUAAGAGCCUGUGUGACAGCAGUGUCUCAGGUCAUCCAAAGGUUUUCACCUCAGUCCCCCAAAAGCUGGAGGUACAUGUUCUUUCAGUCAAAGUUUAAAUAGGAAGAAGAAGAAGAAGAAAAAGUUAUCAGAGAAGACUUGUUAGGGAAAUACAGCAUAAAUCAGGCAAGGCUCUAUUGGUGUGGGUCAAGGGAUGGUAGGCAUCCACAGGCAGUAUGGGAGCAAGGUAGAAAUAAUCCAGCCUUAAGAAAAGUCAGGAAUCUGACUUCCUGGAAGCUCAUGAUGCUGAUGGGGGUAUGAGCAAAGAACCCUGUCAGUAUCUUAUUUGCCCUGAGGAUUUAGCAGUAUUUUUAGAAGUAAGGUCAUGAAAGAACUGGGACCAAAUUCAUCUGCUGUCAUUCAUCCCGGUCUUCCAAGCCAUAGCUAAGACAGAAUCCUUUGCCUAUAUAGUUUACAGUCCAAGUAGACAGACAAGCCAAAGACAGCAGGAAACCAGGCAUGUAAAGUUGUUGACCUGAGUCCACUUCUCUUCCAGAUUUGGUCACACGUCUCCUCUCCAUUUCUGUCUCAACAAGCUACAUUUGCUGAUGCUGACCGCAACACAUGCAUACUGUCACAACCCCUGCCAUCCAGGCGUGCUGCUUCACCACUGCUGUGUGCUUUUCACAGCCUUUUCUGAGAAGAACCUGAUCUUGGGCAGAAGGUCAUUGCCAACCCAGCUCACACUGACAGAGACCAGCAAAAAUCUGUAGCAUGGACAUGGAAUGAGGCUCCUUUGAAAAAGCUCCCUUGAAAAAGGUGAAUGUGAGCCCCAGGAACCCACUGGGUCAGGAAUAAUUCUGGUUAAAGAUGAAUGGGUAAAGGACAGCAAAAGGAUGAAGAGAGUUACAAAUGUGCCAAACUAGAUGCAGAAGGUGGAGGACACAAGUCACCACUUACACUCUGCUUCAUGCCACAGUGAUCACCACCAAAGUUACAGCAGCAUUACCGAUGAUUUGGCUCAACAGAGUCAGGGCCUUUGGCUGCACUGGUUCCUUCCUGCAGGGAAGGAUCUCACCCAGGGACAGUGAAAGAUCAUUCAUUGGCCUCAUCCUCCUGUGAAGCCCAACCCUCUGUUCGUGUCUUCCCACUUAAAUACUGAAACAUUUCCCUGCUGUACAGCGUGUGCUUACACCAGCUCCCUUGUAUGUGGUGAGAGGUCACGAGAGUCUGACUAGCAAAGCUGGCAAAGGCAGCAAAGGUGAGAUUGGGCAGUGUCUUCUCUCCUUGCUGCCACUUGCAUCAUGAGAACAAGGAACAAGUUGAAAGGGCUGGUGUAGCAUAUGGAAUGAGCUUUUAUUCCUAACGUCUUGAGCAAAUUUGUGCAUGGUGGCACACUCAAUAUAAAGGCAGCAUUGUCAAUUUUGAGCAUCAAAGCAUCAUGCCUUCCAAAAUCCUGAGAGUGGCUUAAAGAUUCUGAGACUUCUUAAAAACAACAAAUGUCAAUUUCCUUUAUUUUCCUUUGGGUUUUGGAGCCUUUUGGGGAGAAUUUUCUUCCUCUUUGUUGUAAAAGUACGGUUUACCUUCUGCUCUGAAUGAAUGCAAAGGGCCUUAUGGACUCCCUUGAUUCCAGCUUCUGGGUCUUUAAGGGAAACACCAAAAGUCAUUAAGAUGUGCAAUUAAAUCACAACCGUGGCUAACACAGCAAAUAUAAAUGCAAACCCUGCCCUAGAGAACAAAGACCCAUUCAUUCUGCUUAAAUUGCUCUUGAGAGUUGCUUGCUGCUUCAUUUUUUUUUCUUUUUCCCCCCAGUCCGUAUUUCUUCAGAAGGAGGGGGAGCUUUCUUGGCUUAUGCCACAUCCUGGAUCCUCAAAAAAGCCUGUGCUCAGCGGCCUGAGUCUGUCUUGCCUCCUGUCUGCCAACCCUCUAGAAAAGUGAGGUUACAGACAAGCAUCAGCAAUGAGUGAGCAGUAAUAAAGAACCUUGAUAACUGAGGGACCAAACAUCUCCUGCCGAAAAGCAAAGCCACAUGGAUAAAUGUCACAGUAAAUGAGAAGCCACAGGGCACAGCCAGAACUGCAGGUGCUGAUGUGUGAAGGAGCCCUCUGAUGUCACACCAGUUUUGCUGCCAGAAAAGCCUGAGCAAAGAUAAAUUGGAGAAACUGGUCUGCAGCCCAGCCACCCCAUGCCUGAUGGAGGGAUCUGCAUAACGACCAGAAAUCACUUCUCCUCCAUACAGGUCUCUGGCCUUGCUCCUGUACAUUAUUAAAAAAGAAACAAAAAACCUACUCUUCUUUGUAGAGAGAAAAGUUUUAAUAUUUAAUAAGAAAAAUCUUUGGAACACUGAAUAUUAUUGUUGAGACUGGGAAAAUAAAUUAUAUUCCUCUG